rnacentral:rRNA from 1 species
CCUACGGGAGGCAGCAGUGAGGAAUAUUGGUCAAUGGACGAGAGUCUGAACCAGCCAAGUAGCGUGAAGGAUGACUGCCCUAUGGGUUGUAAACUUCUUUUAUAUGGGAAUAAAAUGUUCCACGUGUGGGAUUUUGUAUGUACCAUAUGAAUAAGGAUCGGCUAACUCCGUGCCAGCAGCCGCGGUAAUACGGAGGAUCCGAGCGUUAUCCGGAUUGAUUGGGGUUAAAGGGAGCGUAGGUGGAUUGUUAAGUCAGUUGUGAAAGUUUGCGGCUCAACCGUAAAAUUGCAGUUGAAACUGGCAGUCUUGAGUACAGUAGAGGUGGGCGGAAUUCGUGGUGUAGCGGUGAAAUGCUUAGAUAUCACGAAGAACUCCGAUUGCGAAGGCAGCUCACUGGACUGCAACUGACACUGAGGCUCGAAAGUGUGGGUAUCAAACAGGAUUAGAUACCCCAGUAGUC